CUGACUCUGUCACUCUUGAAGGGGAGCCCAGUCCUGAGUUCCUCUUUCUUCCCAUUCACAUAUCAACACUGAACACAGAUCUCUCAUCAUGAAGUUGUGGCUAAACUGUAUUUUCCUUGUAAAUCUUUUAAAAGGUAUCCAGUGUGAGGUGCAGCUUGUGGAGUCUGGAGGAGGCUUGGUGAAGCCUGGUGGUUCCCUGAAAAUCUCCUGUGCAGCCUCUGGAUUCACCUUCAGUGAUUAUUAUAUGAACUGGGUCCGCCAGGCUCCAGGAAAGGGACUGGAGUGGGUUGCCGUUAUUAGAAACAAAGCUAAUGGUUACACAACAGAGUACAGUGCGUCUGUGAAGGGCCGCUUCACCAUCUCCAGAGAUAAUUCUAAAAACACCCUCUACCUUCAAAUGAACAGUCUGAGAGCUGAGGACACUGCUACUUACUACUGUGCCAGAAACACAGUGAGGGGUCUUCAGUGUGAGCCCAGACACAAACCUUCAUGCAAGAUUGCUUGGGGCAAAGAGUGGGUGUACAAGGCCAGAGAAACAGACAGGAUGCAGGAGAAAUACACUAAUUUCUCAGGAAAGCCAUCUAGGAUUUAUAGUGCUGAAUCAAACACAGAAGUCUCUACAUUGAAAAGUGGCAACUUCACAGAAUGGCUGAGCUAUGAGAAACUGAAAGUGGGUGUAAACUUCUAUUUGCCAAUAGCAAAUUCAAGGAGACAAGAACAGAAGUUAUUAAAAAAGACACACUUUCUUUACAUGUGUGCAUUGCAUUUAGACAUAUUUCUUUGAAACUUGUUAUGCAACAUUUUAAGAUUAUAAACUUCUAUAGUAGAUGACAC